CGCCCCUACUAUGAACAGAACGUUUGGAUGGACUCCCAUAUUUUGGUCUAUUGCAGCUUUCUCUGGCUUAUUAUCGUCUGGUGUUGCCUCCUUCGAAAGUCAUUAACCAAGGAGACUGCGCUCUGAGUCCCGCUUUAAAUUUGAAUGUGUUACAAAACGUCAAAAGUCGUACGGCACUUUAGAAAGGAGGGAGAACGUGUACGGCUCCAGGAUCUGCUCCGAGUGCGGCUACGGCUGCGAGACCACCAAGAUGAUUCGG